CGGCGACGGGUGAGUAAUGCCUAGGAAUCUGCCUGGUAGUGGGGGACAACGUUUCGAAAGGAACGCUAAUACCGCAUACGUCCUACGGGAGAAAGCAGGGGACCUUCGGGCCUUGCGCUAUCAGAUGAGCCUAGGUCGGAUUAGCUAGUUGGUGAGGUAAUGGCUCACCAAGGCGACGAUCCGUAACUGGUCUGAGAGGAUGAUCAGUCACACUGGAACUGAGACACGGUCCAGACUCCUACGGGAGGCAGCAGGU
rnacentral:rRNA from 1 species